GUGAGCUCUACCUUGUCACUCUUUUGACUGUUGAUGGUGACUCUAAGUUAAUGAAGACAGGAGGCUUGGUGCUGAUUGAAGUUGGAGCUCUUGUGAUCCUUUUGUGCUCUUUGAACUGUGAGACCUCUUUCAUCUCAAUCGGUAGUCUUGCUUGGUGCCAAGUAAGGUGGGACAACGCUUAUGGUUGGGAGGUUAGGUCUCCUCCUUCACGUCGACAAUGCUGUGGCGAGGAGGUGGCUGAGUCUUCUACCUUUGCUUAGGGUGUCUGGAUGUGAGGGUUGGGCUGAGGAGCUCAUUAUUUGGGCUAUGAUGUAUUAUGCUU
rnacentral:misc_RNA from 1 species